UACGUAGGGGGCAAGCGUUGUCCGGAUUUAUUGGGCGUAAAGAGCGUGUAGGCGGCCAUACAGGUCCGUUGUGAAAACUGGAGGCUUAACCUCCAGACGUCGAUGGAAACCGUAUGGCUAGAGUCCGGAAGAGGAGACUGGAAUUCCUGGUGUAGCGGUGAAAUGCGCAGAUAUCAGGAGGAACACCGAUGGCGAAGGCAGGUCUCUGGGCCACUACUGACGCUGAGAAGCGAAAGCAUGGGGAGCGAACAGG
rnacentral:rRNA from 1 species